GCCGAGGUAGCCCAGCCUGGUCUAAGGCGCCGGACUCAUAAUCCGGUAUUCCCGGGUUCAAAUCCCGGCCUCGGCACCA
rnacentral:tRNA from 1 species